rnacentral:rRNA from 1 species
GACGAACCGUGCGAACGUUGUUCGGAAUCACUGGGCUUAAAGGGCGCGUAGGCGGGCUGCCAAGUCCGGGGUGAAAGCCCUCCGCUCAACGGAGGAAUGGCCUUGGAUACUGGCGGCCUGGAGGAAGGUAGGGGCGUGCGGAACUCUCGGUGGAGCGGUGAAAUGCGUAGAUAUUCACAGGAACUCCGGUGGCGAAGGCGAGGUGCUGGACCCCAUCUGACGCUGAUGCGCGAAAGCCAGGGGAGCGAACGGG